rnacentral:tRNA from 1 species
UUUUAAAUAGUAAGUUUAUGAUUGAUUUGCAAUUAAUUAUUAUGUUAAGCAUACUUGAAUA